UACGGAGGGUGCAAGCGUUGUCCGGAAUCACUGGGCGUAAAGGGCGCGUAGGCGGCUCAUGAAGGCUGUGGUGAAAGUCCGGGGCUCAACCUCGGAUCGGCCGUGGCGACUCGUGGGCUGGAGCACUGUAGAGGCGGGUGGAAUUCCGGGUGUAGCGGUGGAAUGCGUAGGGAUCCGGAAGAACACCAGUGGCGAAGGCGGCCCGCUGGGCAGUGGCUGACGCUGAGGCGCGACAGCGUGGGGAGCAAACAGG
rnacentral:rRNA from 1 species